CUUGUCCUCACGCUCUCCCCCCCUCCCCUUCCCCCCGCUCUCGCCAUCCUGGCUCAACCGUCGUGAUUCCAGUUGGCCGACGAACCAAGAACUGUUAUGGCCUCUUAUAAAUCUCCCCACCCCUCUCCCCAUGAUCAUACGCUGGAUCGCCGAUACUUGGCCUUCUCUUCGUCAUAUGGGAGGCGGAUGAAGAACGCGUCGUCUUUUCUUCGAUCGACGGGGGCUCAUCUCGUCUCCGUUUCGAUGGAUUUGAUCGAAGAAAGCGUGAUAUAACUCCAGCUCAAGGUGAAAAGAAGGUAGAUAACCACCUCUAAGAACAUUGAUUGAAUGGAUUCAAUUUUGGAAGUUUGUGGCUGCCAAAAGCUAUGGGGGCAUAUUCUACUGAUGUUGCUGGUUAAUUAAAAAAGAGGAUCGUACUGUUUUAAUGUAAAAUCUCAAGCCUCAGGUUUACCUUUAUUCCUUCGUUGCUUUCUGAAUACUUGGUCUCUCAUGUUCUGACUUCUCCAUCUCUUUUUAAUAGAAAGAGACAUGUUACCGAUCAAAAGUUGGUAUAUAUUCACUGCUUUAUAGUCUUCUAUUGUGAAA